AGAUACCCGUGUAGUCCCAGCCCUAAACGAUGCGCGUUAGGUGUAUCGGUGACCACGAGUCACCGAGGUGCCGAAGGGAAACCGUGAAACGUGCCGCCUGGGAAGUACGGUCGCAAGGCUGAAACUUAAAGGAAUUGGCGGGGGAGCACCACAAGAGGUGGAGGCUGCGGUUCAAUUGGACUCAACGCCGGAAAACUCAUCGGGAGCGACAGCAGUAUGAUUACCAGGUUGAUGACCUUGCUUGACAAGCUG
rnacentral:rRNA from 1 species